rnacentral:lncRNA from 10 species
GAAUCACAAAAGAAGUGAAUAUGCCCUGCCCCACCUUAACUGAUGACAUUCCACCACAAAAGAAGUGUAAAUGGCCGGUCCUUGCCUUAAGUGAUGACAUUACCUUGUGAAAGUCCUUUUCCCGGCUCAUCCUGGCUCAAAAAGCACCCCCACUGAGCACCUUGUGACCCCCACUCCUGCCCACCAGAGAACAAACCCCCUUUGACUGUAAUUUUCCUUUACGUACCCAAAUCCUAUAAAACGGCCCCACCUUUAUCUGCCUUCCCUGACUGUCUUUUCGGACUCAGCCCGCCUGCACCCAGGUGAAAUAAACAGCCACGUUGCUCACACAAAGCCUGUUUGGUGGUCUCUUCACACGGACGCGCAUGAAAUUUGGUGCCGUGACUCGGAUCGGGGGACCUCCCUUGGGAGAUCAAUCCCCUGUCCUCCUGCUCUUUGCUCUGUGAGAAAGAUCCACCUAUGACCUCAGGUCCUCAGACCGACCAGCCCAAGAAACAUCGCACCAAUUUCAAAUCCGGUAAGCGGCCUCUUUUUCCUCUCUUCUCCAACUUCCCUCACUAUCCCUCAACCUCUUUCUCCUUUCAAUCUUGGCGCUACACUUCAAUCUCUCCCUUCUCUUAAUUUCAAUUCCUUUCAUUUUCUGGUAGAGACAAAGGAGACACGUUUUAUCCGUGGACCCAAAACUCCGGCGCGGGUCACGGACUGGGAAGGCAGCCUUCCCUUGGUGUUUAAUCAUUGCAGGGACGCUCUCUGAUUAUACACCCACGUUUCAAGGGUGUCAGACCACGCAGGGACGCCUGCCUUGGUCCUUCACCAUUAGCGGCAAGUCCCGCUUUUCUGGGGAAGGGGCAAGUACCCCAACCCCUUCUCUCCUUGUCUCUACCCCUUCUCUGCUUUUCUGGGAGAGGGGCAAGUACCCCUCAACCCCUUCUCCUUCACCCUUAGCAGCAAGUCCCGCUUUUCUACGGGGCAAGAACCCCCAAUCCCUUAUUUCCGCACCCCAACCUCUUAUCUCUGCACCCCAAUCCCUUCCGAGCCCCAACCUCGUAUCUCUGCACCCCAAUCCCUUAUUUCCACGCCCCGACCUCUUAUCUCUGUGCCCCAACCCCUUUGCCCACUUUUCUAGAAGGUAAGAACCCCCGAACCCCUUCCCUCCGUUUCUCUACUUUCUCUUUUCUCUAGGCUUGCUUCCUUCACUGUGGGCAAACUUCCACCCUCCAUUCCUCCUUCGACUCCCUUGGCCUGUGUUCUCAAAAACUUAAAACCUCUUCAACUCACACCUGACCUAAAACCUAAAUGCCUUAUUUUCUUCUGCAUUGCCGCUUGACCCCAAUACAAACUCGACAGUAGUUCCAAAUAGCCAGAAAAUGGCACUUUGAAUUUUUCCAUCCUGCAAGAUCUAAAUAAUUCUUGUCGUAAAAUAGGCAAACGGUCUGAGGUGCCUGACGUCCAGGCAUUCUUUUACACAUCAGUCCCUUCCUAGUCUCUGUGCCCAGUGCAACUCAUCCCAAAUCUUCCUUCUUUCCCUCCCGCCUGUCCCCUUAGUACCAACCCCAAGUGUCACUGAGUCUUUCUAAUCUUCCUUUUCUACAGACCCAUCUGACCUCUCCCUUCCUCCCCAGGCUGCUCCUCGCCAGGCCGAGCUAGGUCCCAAUUCUUCCUCAGCCUCCGCUCCUCCACCCUGUAAUCUUUUUAUCACCUCCCCUCCUCACACCUGGUCCGGUUUACAGUUUCGUUCUGUGACUAGCCCUCCCCCACCUGCCCAGCAAUUUACUCUUAAAAAGGUGGCUGGAGCUAAAGGCAUAGUCAAGGUUCAUGCUCCUUUUUCUUUAUCCCAAAUCAGAUAGCGUUUAGGCUCUUUUUUAUCAAAUAUAAAAAUCCAGCCCAGUUCAUGACUUGUUUGGCAGCAACCCUGAGACACUUUACAGCCCUAGACCCUGAAAGGUCAAAAGGCCGUGUUAUUCUCAAAAUACAUUUUAUUACCCAAUCUGCUCCCGACAUUAAAUAAAACUCCAAAAAUUGGAAUCUGGCCCUCAAGCCCCACAACAGGACUUAAUUAACCUCACCUUUAAGGUGUACAAUAAUAUAAAAAAGUUGCAAUUCCUUGCCUCCACUGUGAGACAAACCCCAGCCACAUCUCCAGCACACAAGAACUUCCAAAUACCUGAACCACAGCAGCCAGGCGUUCCUCCAGAACCUCUUCCCCCAGGAGCUUGCUACAAGUGCUGGAAAUCUGGCCACUGCGCCAAGGAAUGCCUGCAGCCCAGGAUUCCUCCUAAGCCAUGUCCCAUCUGUGCGGGACCCCACUGGAAAUUGGACUGUUCAACUCACCUGGCAGCCACUCCCAGAGCCCCUGGAACUCUGGCCCAAGGCUCUCUGACUGACUCCUUCUCGGCUUAGCGGCUGAAGACUGAUGCUGCCCGAUCGCCUCAGAAGGCCCGUAGACCAUCACGGACGCCCAACUUCGAGUAACUCUCACAGUGGAGGGUAAGUCCAUCCCCUUCUUAAUCAAUAUGGAGGCUACCCACUCCACAUUACCUUCUUUUCAAGGGCCUGUUUCCCUUGCCUCCAUAACUGUUGUAGGUAUUGACAGCCAGGCUUCUAAACCUCUUAAAACUCCCCAACUCUGGUGCCAACUUAGACAAUACUCUUUUAAGCACUCCUUUUUAGUUAUCCCCACCUGCCCAGUUCCCUUAUUAGGCUGAGAUACUUUAACUAAAUUAUCUGCUUCCCUGACUAUUCCUGGAUUACAGCUAUAUCUCAUUGCCGCCCUUCUUCCCAAUCCAAAGCUUCCUUUGCUUCCUCCUCUUGUAUCCCUCCACCUUGACCCACAAGUAUAAGAUACCUCUACUCCCUCCUUGGCGACCGAUCAUGCACCCCUUACCAUCUCAUUAAAACCUAAUCACCCUUACUCCACUCAACACCAAUAUCCCAUCCCGCAGCACGCUUUAAAAAGAUUAAAGCCUGUUAUCACUCACCUGUUACAGCAUGGCCUUUUAAAGCCUAUAAACUCUCCUUACAAUUCCCUCAUUUUACCUGUCCUAAAACCAGACAAGCCUUAUAAGUUAGUUUAGUUCAGGAUCUGUGCCUUAUCAAUCAACCAACUUGUUUUGCCUAUCCACCCCGUGGUGCCAAACCCAUAUACUCUCCUAUUCUCAAUACCUGCCUCUACAACCCAUUAUUCUGUUCUAGAUCUCAAACGUGCUUUCUUUACUAUUCCUUUGCACCCUUAAUCCCAGCCUCUCUUCGCUUUCACUUGGACUGACCCUGACACCCAUCAAGCUCAGCAAAUUACCUGGGCUGUACUGCCGCAAGGCUUCACAGACAGCCCCCAUUACUUCAGUCAAGCCCAAAUUUCUUCCUCAUCUGUUACCUAUCUCUGCAUAAUUCUCAUAAAAACACACGUGCUCUCCCUGCCAAUUGUGUCCAACUGAUCUCUCAAACCCCAGCACCUUCUACAAAACAACUCCUUUCCUUCCUAGGCAUGAUUAGCGCAGUCAGAAUUCUUACACAAGAGCCAGGACCACACCCUGUAGCCUUUCUGUCCAAACAACUUGACCUUACUGUUUUAGCCUAGCCAUCAUGUCUGCGUGCAGUGGCUGCCGCUGCUUUAAUACUUUUAGAGGCCCUCAAAAUCACAAACUAUGCUCAACUCACUCUCUACAGCUCUCAUAACUUCCAAAUUCUAUUUUCUUCCUCACACCUGACGCAUAUACUUUCUGCUUCCCGGCUCCUUCAGCUGUACUCACUCUUUAAGUCCCACAAUUACCAUUGUUUCUGGCCCAGACUUCAAUCCGGCCUCCCACAUUAUUCCUGAUACCACACCUGACCCCCAUGACUGUAUCUCUCUGAUCCACCUGACAUUCACCCCAUUUCCCCACAUUUCCUUCUUUCCUGUUCCUCACCCUGAUCACUCUUGAUUUAUUGAUGGCAGUUCCACCAGGCCUAAUCGCCACACACCAGCAAAGGCAGGUUAUGCUAUAGUACAAGCCACUAGCCCGCCUCUUAGAACCUCUCAUUUCCUUUCCAUCGUGGAAAUCUAUCCUCAAGGAAAUAACUUCUCAGUGUUCCAUCUGCUAUUCUACUACUCCUCAGGGAUUAUUCAGGCCCCCUCCCUUCCCUACACAUCAAGCUGGAGGAUUUGCCCCACCCAGGACUGGCAAAUUAGUUUUACUCAACAUGCCCUGAGUCAGAUAACUAAAAUACCUCUUAGUCUAGGUAGAUACUUUCACUGGAUAGGUAGAGGCCUUUCCUACAGGGUCUGAGAAGGCCACCGCAGUCAUUUCUUCCCUUCUGUCAGACAUAAUUCCUACAGUCUGAUAACAGAUGAGCCUUUAUUAGUCAAAUCAGCCAAGCAGUUUUUCAGGCUCUUAGUAUUCAGUGAAACCUUUAUAUCCCUUACGGUCCUCCAUCUUCAAGAAAAGUAGAACGGACUAAAGGUCUUUUAAAAACACACCUCACCAAGCUCACCCAGCAACUUAAAAAGGACUGGACAAUACUUUUACCACUUUCCCUUCUCAGAAUUCAGGCCUGUCCUCGGAAUGCUACAGGGUACAGCCCAUUUAAGCUUCUGUAUAGACGCUCGUUUUUAUUAGGCCCCAGUCUCAUUCCAGACACCAGACCAACUUAGACUGUGCCCCCAAAAAACUUGUCAUCCCUACUAUCUUCUGUCUAGUCAUACUCCUAUUCGUUCUCAACUACUCAUACAUGCCCUGCUCUUGUUUACACUGCCGGUUUACACUGUUUUUCCAAGCCAUCACAGCUGAUAAUCUCCUGGUGCUAUCCCCAAACUGCCACUCUUAACUCUUGAAGUAAAUAAAUAAUCUUUGCGGGCAGGACUAUGCUGAAUCUCCUUAGGCACUCUCUAAUCAGAUAUCCUGAGUCGUCCCAAUUCUUAGACCUUUUAUACCUGUUUUUCUCCUUCUGUUAUUCCAUUUAGUUUCUCAAUUCAUCCAAAACUGUAUACAGGCCAUCACCAAUCAUUCUAUACGACAAAUGUUUCUUCUAACAUCCCCACAAUAUCACCCCUUACCACAAGACCUCCCUUCAGCUUAAUCUCUCCCACUCUAGGUUCCCACGCCACCCCUAAUCCCGCUUGAAGCAGCCCUGAGAAACAUCACCCAUUCUCUCUCCAUACCACCCCCCAAAAAUUUUCGCCGCCCCAACACUUCAACACUAUUUUGUUUUAUUUUGCUUAUUAACAUAAGAAAGCAGGAAUGUCAGGCCUCUGAGCCCAAGCCAAGCCAUCGCAUCCCCUGUGACUUGCAUGUAUACGCCCAGAUGGCCUGAAGUAACUGAAGAAUCACAAAAGAAGUGAAUAUGCCCUGCCCCACCUUAACUGAUGACAUUCCACCACAAAAGAAGUGUAAAUGGCCGGUCCUUGCCUUAAGUGAUGACAUUACCUUGUGAAAGUCCUUUUCCCGGCUCAUCCUGGCUCAAAAAGCACCCCCACUGAGCACCUUGCGACCCCCACUCCUGCCCACCAGAGAACAAACCCCCUUGACUGUAAUUUUCCUUUACGUACCCAAAUCCUAUAAAACGCCCCCCCGACACUUAUCUGCCUUUUCGGACUCAGCCUGCCUGCACCCAGGUGAAAUAAACAGCCAUGUUGCUCACACAAAGCCUGUUUGGUGGUCUGUUCACACAGACGCGCAUGAAACUCUUCAUAACACAGGUUAAAAUAUGCGUUCUUUUCUUAGCCAGGGUGACUUCAUGCAGGGCUGUUCUUCAUGUUAUUAGGUGGCCUUUAAUAUCUUUGAAAUAUGGCACAAUUAGAAGCCUGAACCUUACUCUAAUGUUUAUAGCAGCACUUUAUCAAACUUGGUUUCGGAUCAUAUACAAAUUCUGACACUAGAGGGAGUGCAUAAUGUAUUACAGAAAGGGAAAGCAUACACCUAAUAAAUUCAAGGUAAAAAUGCAGAGUAGCAAGACAAGACUUUCAUUAUCUUCCGUUCAGUAAGCCCCAUGCCUUUCCCCCACAACCCCGAAAUUACUAGAGGCCUCUUUCCCCCUUAGAACUGUAGUUUGAAUUGGUAGGAGGUUGGUAGGUUGCUUGAAGAACUGUGAAAAGAGUGUUUUAUUUUAGAGCCUUUCUAGUGUUUUGUUUUCAUUUUUAAAAAAUUGAGACAUAGUAUUUCCUACCUCUCAUACAUUAGAUGGCAAAAUUAAAAUUACUCCUGGCCGUUUUGUUCUGUUUCUGACUUGGUUAAGAUGCUUAACUAUAUAGUAAUGUCACCUAUAGAAUGAAAAGACUCGGGCUUUAUCCUUUGCUUAAAAAAUGUAGUCUAGUCUUAUGAAAGGGUAAGCAUUGUUUUUAGCAUUCAGCUUCAUAAUUUAUUCCCUUACUAUAGGUGCUGCUCUGAUAAUUUAACAGCCAAUGUCAAACAAUUAACAAAUAAUAUUUAAGGCAUUUUUAUUUCCUAAUGUCAAAAAUUUCUCAUGCUCUAACCAAAUGGAAUGCCUAAUGCCUGAAAACAUGUAAAUGACUACAAAUAUGACUGAGCUAUUAACACAGCAACAAGAGAUUCGACUGGCUGAAAAAGUGAAUGAUCAUUGCCACCAGUAAGACUCAACAACUGUUCUCGAAAAAUGUGAUCACUGCUGUGUGCUUUCCUAAAACCUUUUUGUGUAUUCAUUAUACAUUCCACAAUUAUCGUAAAUCCAUCUUGUACUCACACAAAUCUUUGAACUACCGGUAAACUGUCUCUUUAAUGGAAAUGAAAAUUAGAAAAAUUAAAAAGCAGGCUCAUUAUGAAAAAUCCUGUACUUUAUCCAGAUGAAUGAAAUGACCCACACAAAUGAAACAUCCAGACUCACAUUACCUUUUCCUAAAAUACCGAAACCAUGUCUCUGACUAGGGCAUAUUUGUACAGACUUACCUGACAGAGAGCCUUUUGGUUAAUGAUAUUUCACCAUAAUGACUUCUGGAAAGUUAAACCAGAUUUCAGGCAAUAGACUAUGCAGGGUGUAUGUGUGUGUGUGUGUGUGUGUGUGUGUGUGUGUGUGUGUCCAUCUGCAUAUAUGUAUGUGUCUAUGUGUGUGUGCUGUGUCUGUCUAUGUCCAUCUGUCUGUGUGUAUGUGUCUGUAUGUAUGUCUACAUGUAUAUGUGUAUGUGUGUCUGUAUAUGUAUAUAUGUGUGUCUGUGUGUAUGUUUCUGUCUGUGUGUGUCAUGAUUUUUUAUUCAAAAGCACACAAGUAAACACAUCAUGAGAAGUACUAUUUCAACAUUACAGUUCCAGUUAAAACACAUAUGAAUCAAUUUACACAAUAUCACAGUUUCUAGAUAGCAAAUAUCAUAUGGAGCAAGUUUGAAUCCUGCCCCAUGUUUGGAUGAAUGCCAGAUAUUUUACUCUUGCACACACCAAAUAAUGGGGGUGAGGAUGCAGCAGAUUCUACGGCUCUUCAGUCUGUGGUGCCCAUGCACGAUUUCUACCUGUUUUCAAAGGUUCUCACCUUUGUGUUGCCCUAAUGAUGUUUGCCUGUGCUUUAAUCUUAUUAAGUGCAGUUUGAGUGUGCUGAUGAGCCCAGACACUCUGCCUAAAUUGGUCACUUGAUUUUUCCCCACCUCUUACACCUGACACUCUCUCUAUCCACCACCACCUGUGAUCAAGCUUCUCUUCCCCCCUUGUUGAGGAGCUCAGGUAUGUCAUUCUUCCUGCAGAAGGACAUGGGCUGUAUUUGUAUGUGUGAAAAGACCAGCGAUGCCACCCGCCCUCUUGUUUUGGUUGCCUUAAUGAUGAUUGUGGAUUGUUAUAGAACUGAUGGGUCUGCAGACUCUGGAUCAAUAAGAGAGAUGGUCAAAAUGACCAAACUGGCCAGGUUGUCUUGCUGCUCAUUCACCCUAUUCCAAAAUGGCCAAAAACUCGAUGAUGGCUGGGGCAAAAGGACACUUUGAAGGUUGUAAACUGUAAAAAUUCCCUGCCCCAAAUCAGCAUGGGUCUUGGGCCAUUCAUUCUCACUGGAGGAUUGAAGUACUUGAGAAAAACAAUUGUGAUUUCAAAUGCUGAGGCUAGAAACCCUCCUAAAGAGGGCCUUUGUUGUUGUUGAUCACCCAAUUAGACAUGAAAAACCAGGCUGCAGGGCAGAACACUUCAAAGAAGAAAGCAGAACAAAGAAAAGGCUACAUUGCUCUGCACAGAGAAAAGAAAAAGAAGAUUCGGCCACCCAGAGGAGUCUGAGCUUCCUGGCAGGAGGCUGGAGGAAGGAGAGAAAGCAAUGGCUGGCCAGGUGUUCCUGGGGGCAGGAAUAUUUGGGAAAUAUCUAAUGUUCAAUUGUAGGUUGUUUUCUGGGCUGCAACUCUUUUCUGUUGCCCCUCGCAAAUCUUCAAUAAAAUCUGCUAUG